rnacentral:rRNA from 1 species
AGCGAACGCUGGCGGCAGGCCUAACACAUGCAAGUCGAACGAACCCUUCGGGGUUAGUGGCGGACGGGUGAGUAACACGUGGGAACGUGCCUUUAGGUUCGGAAUAACUCAGGGAAACUUGUGCUAAUACCGAAUGUGCCCUUCGGGGGAAAGAUUUAUCGCCUUUAGAGCGGCCCGCGUCUGAUUAGCUAGUUGGUGAGGUAAUGGCUCACCAAGGCUACGAUCAGUAGCUGGUCUGAGAGGAUGACCAGCCACAUUGGGACUGAGACACGGCCCAAACUCCUACGGGAGGCAGCAGUGGGGAAUCUUGCGCAAUGGGCGAAAGCCUGACGCAGCCAUGCCGCGUGGAUGAUGAAGGUCUUUGGAUUGUAAAAUCCUUUCACCGGUGAAGGUAAUGACUGUAGCCGGAGAAGAAGCCCCGGCGAACUUCGUGCCAGCCGCCGCGGUAAGAC